AGCAUACACCCGUAGACAUCAGACAGGAAAUCAUCAAUGACCUGAAUAGGCAGAGAGAACUUCUGACAGAAAAACAGAACGAUGAAAUCAAG